UCCGUAGGUGAACCUGCGGAAGGAUCAUUACCGAGUUGAUUCGGGCUCCGGCCCGAUCCUCCCACCCUUUGUGUACCUACCUCUGUUGCUUUGGCGGGCCGCGGUUCUCCGCGGCCGCCCCCCUCCCCGGGGGGUGGCCAGCGCCCGCCAGAGGACCAUCAAACUCCAGUCAGUAAACGAUGCAGUCUGAAAAACAUUUAAUAAACUAAAACUUUCAACAACGGAUCUCUUGGUUCUGGUAUCGAUGAAGAACGCAGCGAAAUGCGAUAAGUAAUGUGAAUUGCAGAAUUCAGUGAAUCAUCGAAUCUUUGGACGCACAUUGCGCCCUUUGGUAUUCCGAAGGGCAUGCCUGUUCGAGCGUCAUUACAACCCUCAAGCUCUGCUUGGUAUUGGGCACCGUCCUUUGCGGGCGCGCCUCAAAGACCUCGGCGGUGGCGUCUUGCCUCAAGCGUAGUAGAACAUACAUCUCGCUUCGGAGCGCAGGGCGUCGCCCGCCGGACGAACCUUCUGAACUUUUCUCAAGGUUGACCUCGGAUCAGGUAGGGAUACCCGCUGAACUUAAGCAUAUCAAUAAGCGGAGGA
rnacentral:rRNA from 1 species